UGGCUGCAUGGCAGUACCCCGAGCACUACCGAGCCUCUGGGGUUCUCGGGUAAUCCUACUGCUCGAACAUGAGUGGUCGGGACCGCCUAGACCCUAGGGGCGGGUUGUCGGUGCUCGGCCUGGUUAGUCCUAUCCCGGGCGUCACCAAACCAUUGGACCUCUUGGUCAUGCCUCUGUCUGUACACUUCGUCGGUCCGGGUAUUUGAGAGGUCCCGGGUCAAAAACGAGAGCAGUCUAUAAUGAGUACUGCACUAACAGAGCGCACCAAGCAAAGAAUCUUUGCCUAUUUUCAUAAGCCUACAGAUCAAUAAUCAAGAACCAAGUAGUCGGACCGCAAGGGCCUCAGUGCCCAGGGCGCUGCUCGAACCUAUGGGGUCCUCCGGUAAUCCUACCGUUCGAACAUAAGUGGUCGGGACCGCCUACCCCCUGGUUCUGUCACCGGGUUAACAGUUCUCGGGUGCUAAAAGGACGUCUUGGGGGCUUAGGCGCUCUGCACGAGGGAACCCAUGUUCCCGGGCGCCCCGAGCUCAGGGCAUCUACCCUCUCCUGGACCGGUCAGCCAGAAGGCUGACAGCUGUCCGGUGAGUAACUAAAGUUAUAUGAAUUUCCUUUCAUAUAUACGCAAUGAACUAUUGUUCCCGAGUUAUCCUCGGGACCCUCGCAUGCUAAUCUGUUCGGCGAGACGGUCUCCUUGCCCGCAAAACCCCGCCCAUGUGCUUGCUUUUCCAGAACGACAAAAACAGACAGUAGUCGGUGUACCGUACAGGCGGCGAUGAUUGACCUAGGUCCUUUAUGGUGGCCGUGGUGCCCGGCCGGCUUAGCAGUACCCCGAGCACUACCGAGCCUCUAGGGUUCUCGGGUAAUCCUACCGCUCGAACAAAGAGUGGUUGGGACCGCCUAGACCCUAGGGGCGGGCUGUCGGUGCUCGGCCUGGUCAGUCCUACCCCGGACACCAUCAAACCGUGGGGACUCUUGUCGCAUUUUCGCCCGCUCGCGUCUCCGGUCUAUUUGUUUGAGAGGUCGCAGGGUGAAAAGCGUUCACUGGACGUGGCGUGUACCCUGCCAGAUGGAUUUGUCUCCCGAGCAAAGAAGUUCGUGCCUGUGUCUCUUUGACUCAGCAGCUGCGCACUCGCGAGGGCUCAGGGGCUAGACGCUCGGGUGGUCCCACUACUCGAACAAUGAGUGGUCGGGGCAACCUAACUUCUCGGGGGAAGACUGCUGGGCUCGGUCCAGCCGGUGCCUCUCGGGACAUCAAGCAAAAGCAAGCAACACAAAGAACAAGUACAGAGCGGAGUUUCGAUUCGAUCCCAAGGGUGACUUCUAUUAUAUUAAAAGGAACCGUUCAGGAAGGGAUCACUCCCAUAAUUACAACAUUCCAAAAAACAAAAUCUCUAACUAUUUACAGGCUCAGGAGGAGGGCAUGCGUCCCUUCGGUUUCCCACCUGGGCCGUACCAAGAGCCUGGGUUAGAAAGGUUGCAAAGAUCGCAAGAUUUUGGCGCCUGACGACAAGUCACGUGGUACCAAUGUUGUGAUCGGCCUCGAAGAAAUAGGGCCCAUCCGCAGUCUUUGGGCCAUCGCCUACCGAUGGGCCCAGGGGCUGCUGUCGGUGACAUGAGAAUCAGAGGUCCCCGAGUCCCGAGGCCAGAACAGCAGAAUGCCACGUGACGCUUUCCCUCGGGGACCAUCUCCCCGAGGCCCGAGAAGACCCAGUUCCGGGAGGGGUGCUCGGGGCCAUGAACAGUGGUCCCCGAGUACCCGUAGUUCCCCGAUGAGCCGAGAAGUACUAGUUCCGGGAGAGGGCGCUCAGGGCUAUGAACAGUGACCCCCUGAAUACCCGUAGUUCCCCGAGGACCCGAGAAGAACCAGUUCCGGGAGAGGGCGCUCGGGUCCAUGAACAGUGGUCCCCGAGUACCCGUAGUUCCCUGAGGACCCGAGAAGAGACAUAUCCGGGAGAGGGCGCUCGGGGCCAUGAACAGUGGCCCCCGAUGGCCCUCGAGCACCUAGAGUUCCCCGAGGACCUGAGAAGGUCCUUGCCGGUGGACCCCACAAGGGCUCAAUAGUGAGGUGUCAGUCUGUGGAAGGCCCGAUGCUGCAUUUAAGAGGGAGUGGCUUGUCACUUCCAACCACCCCCCACGCCUGUCGUACUGAGUACGCCAAUCCCUGUCACCGCCUGGCAGGGGGCGUGGGGACAUUUAAUACGAUGGGUCCCGUCACGCGUCACUCUGCGGGGCUUGGAGAUAUCAUCGCUGGGCCCGAAGCAUAUCGCCUGCCCCCUCUGCUGUGUCAGACCUGCUCUGACCGAGCGGGCAUGUGGGGUUGUUCGGCGGUUGCCCGGUGGGCACCCCCUCGCGCUUGCUAAAGCUAGGCGUAAUAAGCGACAAGACUGACCGAGGGCGCAUUUUCAACCCCCUGUAACAUCAAACUGCAGCUUCAUGAUGGUUGCUUUUCAUUUAUGGCUCAUGGGAACUCGUGCCCUCCUUUCUGGGCACGUCAAGUCUCUCCAACAGGAUAAAAGGGGGGUGCACCCCGGAGAACAAAGGUCGAAGGAAGUGCUAGAGGUCAUACAAAGCCAAGCUGAGCAGAGGCUCACCAAGCUCGAAGCUCUAGAUUUAGACAAAAAACCUUGUAACACAAGAGAUCCAGAGACAGGCAUUCUCAGAGCAUUAAUAGCAUACACAUAGGAGUAGGGUAUUACGCUUCAUGCGGCCCGAACCUGUCUAAAAUCCCUUGUGCAUUUACUCUCACCAGCAGACGAUCAUCCGUCCCUCCUACAUCUCACAUACUCGAAUUAAACCCACACACGAGGCGGAUCCAGAAUCAUCCCUCCGACCGAAUUUCAAAAGGGGUCCCUCAGGAUCCCCGGUUGAGGAGUUCAUCCUCCGUCAGUGUCGGUUUGGGAAGUCACUGAGAACUCACAUGAAAGUCACUGGCGACGGCCAAGUUCCUUCGCGCAGCAAUCUGUCGAUUGCGACCAUGGGGUGACUGCUGAGGAGGGAAACUCUUCUCCUUUCUUUCCUUGCGUAAUUAUUAAAUUAUUUGCAUCUCUUUUUUGAGAUUGGUUCGUGGUUACUGCCCAUGCAUCAUUUUGCUUCACACAGAAAUCAUGAUGUAAUAUAUGCUCUAAUAUCAAACUGAAGAGUUAAUUGUAUAGGUAGAGGGUUCUUGCAAGUUUCCUCUUGCACCUCAGGGCUAUCAGUUGCUAUCCUAAGAGCAGCUCUUGCUCUUCUGGAGUUGACGACGAAUGGAAGGUGGAUAUCACUGGAAGUCGGACACAGAAGUUCUCGAUGCCGAACCAAUUAUUCAGUUCCACACUGUAAUAUGGUGGUAACAUAUCCAUGGCAACAAUUCCUAAUUAUGACAUAUGGCAGGAGGUUGAAUGGCUCCGAGCUGUAAGAAAUGCAGUUGCUAACAAGAUGAAAGCUAGACCCAUCUAUGCGCCAAGCCCUUGUUGAAGAAGGUAAGAACCUGAAAGAGGGGCUUAUUGCACUGGAAUAGAAUCUUGUUCAGCUAGCUUCAAAUAGAAGCGCAAAGUAUUCCUAAUGCCACACAUCCAGAGGUUCCCGUAGGUGGUGAGGAAAGCUCUGUCGUCAGAAAGGAGAAUGGCUGUCAGAGGAGCUUCAAUUUCGUAAUCAAAGAUCACCUUCAGCUGGGAAAGGAUUUUGAUUUGUUUGACUUUGAUGCAGCUGCCGAGGUUAGUGGUUCCUAGUUCUACUACUUAAAGAAUGAAGCUGUUUUGUUGGCCAGAUGGCCCUUGUAAAUUGCGCUAUAUCGGAGGUCUCAAAGAAGGGUUUCACACCACUCAUUACUCCAGAGAUUGUAAAGUCAUCUGUUGUUGAGAAAUGCGGCUUCCAGCGGAGGGCCCAAAACACUCAGGUAUGAUCUCUCUUUUAAACGUACUAUUAAGCUAUUUAGUUAUUAUUAUAAAGACAUGAGAAUAGCCACUCUAGUACAUCUUUGGUCAGAUGACUUGUUUUUUGUUCAUGUGAUGCAACUUUGAGCCAGGCGGAUAUUUGACAAAGUUUGUAUGCGCUGAGUAGGGAGAUCACUAAAAUCCACAAGCACCUUGUUUCAGAAUGUACAAAUGAAAGCAGUGCUUUGAUGUGUUGUGAUAGAAACGUUAACUAUAUGAAAUGAAAUGACAUGUACAGUGAAGCCAUUCCAACAA